GCACAGAAUGAAACAUACCUUUGUGAGUUUUCUUCUCUUGGUCUACAGAUCCGAUGUUUAACCGUUCUGUAGCUCUUGGGACUGAAGAACUUGCAAAGGCACCACACGUUACAACAGU
rnacentral:precursor_RNA from 11 species